UAGAGUUUGAUUCAUGGCUCAGGAUGAACGCUGGCGGCGUGCCUAAUACAUGCAAGUCGAGCGAACGGACGAGAAGCUUGCUUCUCUGAUGUUAGCGGCGGACGGGUGAGUAACACGUGGAUAACCUACCUAUAAGACUGGGAUAACUUCGGGAAACCGGAGCUAAUACCGGAUAAUAUUUUGAACCGCAUGGUUCAAAAGUGAAAGACGGUCUUGCUGUCACUUAUAGAUGGAUCCGCGCUGCAUUAGCUAGUUGGUAAGGUAACGGCUUACCAAGGCAACGAUGCAUAGCCGACCUGAGAGGGUGAUCGGCCACACUGGAACUGAGACACGGUCCAGACUCCUACGGGAGGCAGCAGUAGGGAAUCUUCCGCAAUGGGCGAAAGCCUGACGGAGCAACGCCGCGUGAGUGAUGAAGGUCUUCGGAUCGUAAAACUCUGUUAUUAGGGAAGAACAUAUGUGUAAGUAACUGUGCACAUCUUGACGGUACCUAAUCAGAAAGCCACGGCUAACUACGUGCCAGCAGCCGCGGUAAUACGUAGGUGGCAAGCGUUAUCCGGAAUUAUUGGGCGUAAAGCGCGCGUAGGCGGUUUUUUAAGUCUGAUGUGAAAGCCCACGGCUCAACCGUGGAGGGUCAUUGGAAACUGGAAAACUUGAGUGCAGAAGAGGAAAGUGGAAUUCCAUGUGUAGCGGUGAAAUGCGCAGAGAUAUGGAGGAACACCAGUGGCGAAGGCGACUUUCUGGUCUGUAACUGACGCUGAUGUGCGAAAGCGUGGGGAUCAAACAGGAUUAGAUACCCUGGUAGUCCACGCCGUAAACGAUGAGUGCUAAGUGUUAGGGGGUUUCCGCCCCUUAGUGCUGCAGCUAACGCAUUAAGCACUCCCGCCCCUGGGGG
rnacentral:rRNA from 1 species